UUGUGCUCUAUCUCUCUGUCAAAUAAAUUAAUUAAAUUAAAAAAAAAGAAAUUUGGGAUAAAAAAUGUUUGAAAAGUUUGGAAACAUAACGAGUAUCUCUAGGAAGAAAAAUGAGAUUUCUUGGUGAGUGUGUGUGUGUGUGUGUGUGUAUGUGUGUGUAAUUUCUCUUUCUUUCUUAAAGCUCAACCAGAAUGGAAAAAGUGAAAUACAGAUUCCUGAUAUACUUCCAGACUUGUGCGUGUACAUCUUAGGAAGAUUGCCAGAAGUUGCAGAGAGUUGUUCAUCAAUCACCCAGAAUUUGCCAAUAAUUACCUGCUCUUAGAAUAAGCCUUAGUAUUUACCUAUUCCUAGAGAGGAAUAAUAAAUAAUAAAUAAAUAAUAAUGCCGUUGAGUUUCUGAUGGAAGGUAUGUAUAGCCAGAUUUUAGGGAUGAUUCAACUUGCCUUCAGAAAGGUUGAGUAACUUGCCUCAGGUCACACAGCUAGGAAGGGGCAGAGCCGGGACUGAACCCAGGUUGAUCUCUACAUGAGCUGGUCCUCCUUGGGCCAAUGCUUGCCUGCCUCCAUCACAUGUCUUCAUCCUUUUUUUUUUCUUUCAUCCUUUAUAUUAUGUAAUGGCAAGAGAUGUGUGUUCAUGGUUUGCUUUAUGGUCCCUAAUGGCUACUUCGUCAUCCUCCCACCCACCAGCAGUUUUUAAAUACUUUCUGGGCUGUAUCUUCCUCUUUCCCCGGCCUGCCUCUUCUUCAGCAGCUUGGUCUGUUUCACUAACCCUAGAGAGAAAACCUAAAUCCUACAACCACUCCACACCCCGGAAAAGGGAAGCUGCCUUGGCCCCAACCCCCUUGUGGCCUAAGUAUGGAGUAAUAUCACCUCAGAAAACCUCUAGACCUUCCAGUAAUGGGGGUGGGGCUGGAGGUGGGGGAGAUGCUUCGAGACUUCUCUGACCAGCUAUGAAAAUGAGGUCAUGUUUGACAAACGGCAUUGUUCUGUGCGAGCAGCAGUCAACGCACUUGGCAAGGAUAAAGCCUUGGAACACGCCAGUGAUUAUUUUUAAUUGGAUGGGCCUCGUGGCUGUAAGAAAAAUCAAUGUAUUUCUGAGGCGGCUGCAGAGGCGUUGAUCCGACUUGGCCCUGCCGCUCCCGGGCGGCCAAAGGAUGCUGGCGCCAGGAAACAGGAGGCUCUAGGCCUUGGGCACAGGGGAUGAUGAGCCCCCCCUGGCUCCUCCUACUGCUGGGAUGAGUCCACUAUAAGCCAGGGCCAGAAAAGCAUGGGCUGGGGGUGGUGUCUAGGAGGGCAUGGGGUGCCCAAGGGUGCAGAACACAGGGCCCAACAGGAGGCGGUGAGACGGGGAGCCUUGUAAUGCUCUUGUUUCUGGCUGGAGUCACCAGCGUGAGAUAUUUAAACUAAAACAGCAGAACGUCAUCUCCAGGACAUUGAUGAAGAAAGCAUGUCUCUCCUCCCUGCUGGCGGCUGCCCGAGACUGAUGCAUUCAGGAGAGAGAGAAAAGUAACUGUGUACUCACACUAUCAGAGAAGCCUCCAAUCUGGUUGGAAGGUUUUUCUCAAGGAAGACAAAGGCACGGCGUCCCUCGUCCCUCACUGUGUGGUUGUCUGUAGGCAGAGUGAACCCCCUUGUCUGCGAGCCUGGAGGGGCCCCAGGGCCUGGUGAGUGCUGGGGAGCUGUACCAGGGAGGACCUGCCAGGCCAGAGGCAGCAAACGCUAGGUGUGCAGGCUCAUGCCUGUGGCUGGGAAGCGCUCGACCCCUGGAGAGCUCGGCGAGGGAGCAGCACCAGGGCAACUGAGGGGCCUUUCGAGGAUUUUUGGAAGUUGCUUCUGGACAGCCUUACCAGAAAGAAAAGGGGGAAGCCCCUGUGGCAUCUGGGGGUUUGCUGCAACGCGUGUGAAUUGUGCCAAGUUGAGACUCCACUUUUCCUGAGAAGUCCCUGCUUCCCAGUCAAUAACAUCAAAAAGAAUUUAAAACUCUGUGUGGUAAGACCAAUUACAGCUUCUAAUCUUUGUGCUGGGUGAGUGUUUAACCCCCUCCCCACCACACACACAUCUGAGGAAGAAAUCUCAGAACUCAGACAGCCCCUAAAUCCACCUGCGCCUGGUUCUCUGGAAAACACCCUUGACAUCUACAUUAUGAGCCCGAGGAAGCUUUGCUUGUAGGCUGGGUUGCAUUUCUUACAAAGCCUCUGGUUUUCACAGCCACGUAAGCUAUUUCUCUCUCAAGGCAUUGCUUUUGUGUAGAAAUUUAUCAUGUUUUUCCCCCUCAGUCCAGAAGUGAAUUAUUUUUUUUUUUAAAUUGGAGAAAAUCCCUUAAGCUGUUUUGGACUUAUUCAAGCAUGCAAAAAGGGUAUUUUCCAUGCGUAGUUCAGAUGCUUAGUAUGUUCUUGGAUAGCCCAAAUAAUUUGAAUUUAAAACUUUGAAUUGGACCUCUUUAUGUCACAUCUUAAAAAGGUGCCAUUUAUGAAGAAAAAUAUGGUCAUGAAAUAAAGGAUAUGAGGAGUAAGUGA